CAACAUUUGGUCUCUCCAUUUAAACCCUAAAAUAUCAAAUCCAAAUUUUCAAGCUCUCUCGCUGUGUUGUCUCCCAUCAUCGCCGUCUCUCGAGCUCUCUCUCACAUCGCCGUUGUCUCUCACAUCGUCGCCGUCUCUCGAGCUCUCUCGUUGUGUUGUCUUGUUUGCUAUUUCACUGUGUCGUUCUUGCUACGCCGCGUUUCAAUCGACAAUUUCUUCGCUGCGUGGAAUCCUACACGUCCUUCCCGCUACUUCCAAACUGCAGGUAUAUCUCUUCAUCCUUUCUCAAACCCUUUUCUCUCUACUAUCUUCAACAAACCCUAAUCCCCCAAAACCCUAAAUUCAAUUUCGAACAACCCUAAAUUCAUCUCUCUCGUUUCACUUCGCGAUUUGCAAUAGCAAGUAAAUUCUAUUCUCUUUCCAAAUCAUUUCAGUUUGUAAUUUCAAUAUUUAUUUUGGUAAUCUUGCUUGUUAAGUGUCAUUAAUUCACGAUUUGCUAAAUGAGGUUGUCAGUUUGCGAUUUGUUCUGUUUUUGAGCUGAUAUGAGUGCUAAUCUAAAAUUUCAAUUUACACUAACUUUGGUGUGUGCCACUAUGAUUUUGUUAAAUCACAUUUUUUUGUAUGUUGAUAAUAUGAAAUGUAAAUGAUUUAUUUGCAUUUCCAUAAGGAGAGAAUUUUGCGAUGAUGCCUGGCACAAGUAUAGAUGCACCACAUAUUGCAGGUCUUGCUGCGCUUAUUAAGCAGAAGUUCCCAAAUUUCAGUCCUCCAGCCAUUGGUUCUACACUUUCUACUACUGCGUCUUAGAAUGAUAAGAGUGGUGGACCGCUAAUGGCUCAACGAUUGUGUGCUUUUCCAGAUCUAAGCCAAACCCCGACUACUCCUUUUGACAUGGUGAUCAAUAUUCAUGGAAGAAAUCCAGAGAUUUGCUUGAGAAGGUUGCUGGGCAAGGUGAUCUUACUGGUUAUGGAGUUCCUUGAUGCUAAGGAUGAUCUAACUCCAUAUCCAAGGGCAAUCCAAGAUUCAGUCAAGGUUACUCAGGAGUUGGGAAUAAAGGCGGUAUUCACGUAAGUAUGAAAUUAGGCGAUACAAGUAACGUGUAAAAUAAAAUUAUUAGGGCUGCAGAACACUCUCAUUUGAGCAUCCCAGAAACUGAAUUUUGGAAGAAAAGAAAGCAAUACCAUCAGCUUCUGCAAAACUCUCUUAUUUUUGCUUCAGUUGGGACCGCAACGAAAUUUGUUGGUUUGGCAGCAUGUCGUGCAUAUGCAGUGAAGAAGAACUCUUCUGCCUAGUCAUCAAACAACUUAAAUUAAGGUAACAAUUUUGACAUAAUUGUGAAUUUGUGUUAAGUAUUGUAUACAAAACCUCAUCGGGCGACCUUAAGUUAGAGUUUUUUAUGCAUAAUAAUCACUAAUUUCAUUUAUUCUUUGUUAGGUUAAGGCUUGUUAUAUGUAGUUAGUUUCCUCAAUAUGAUUGUUGGUUUUCAGUCUAAUUUUCAUUGUGAACUUUUUAGGGGAAAUUACAUUGAUUUGAUGAAAUUACAGUUAUCGAUCUUUUAAUUAGAGUAUGCUUGAAACGUUUCACACA